ensembl:lncRNA
UCAUCAUGUAUAAAAGCAGGUGCAACCAGGUCACAGUCAGACAUUUUCCUCAAAUCUCACUCGAAAGCAUCAACACCCCAAAGAGAAGCCAUGAAGCCAGUGAUCGUGCUGUACGUUGCGCUGAUGAUGAUUGCACUGGUGUGCACAACUGUUCCAGAUGCUAAUGCUGUAGACCCCGGAGCACGUCUCGCAAGAUGUGCCACGAAAUGUCGAAGUAAUGAACAUUAUUACCGCGAGGGAUGGUGUGGUGGUGGAAAAACGGUAAGCAUAAAUCUAUAGACUGGUAUUCAUCCAUAGACAUCUUUGGUCCUUUUACUGUGUGCAUGUGACUUGUGGCAUGAAAUUAUAUUUCUUUUGUCAGCUGCUGUGUUCCCUGGACACAUCUGUGAAGGAAGACUGUGUGGAUCAAGCAUCAUGCAUUAUUGUUUUUUCUUCUUCUUCCAUUUAAGUUUAGUUAAAAGCAGUCAGACCCUUACACAAGACAUGGAUUCAUCAUGAUUUGUAUUUAAGCCUGUUUGAUGCCAGUUUGAAUAA